GAUGAACGCUAGCGGCAGGCUUAAUACAUGCAAGUCGAGGGCAGCGCAGUGUAGCAAUACAUGGGCGGCGACCGGCAAACGGGUGCGGAACACGUACAGAACCUUCCUUCGAGCGGGGAAUAGCCCAGAGAAAUUUGGAUAAUACCCCAUAGUAUAGUGGAGAGGCAUCUCUUACUAUUAAAGAUUUAUCACUUGAAGAUGGCUGUGCGGCUGAUUAGGUAGNGGUCGGGG
rnacentral:rRNA from 1 species